rnacentral:rRNA from 1 species
UACGUAGGGUGCGAGCGUUAAUCGGAAUUACUGGGCGUAAAGCGUGCGCAGGAGGUUCGUUGUGUCGGCGGUGAAAGCCCCGGGCUUAACCUGGGAAUGGCCGUUGAAACUGGCGAACUGGAGUGUGGCAGAGGGGGGUGGAAUUCCGCGUGUAGCAGUGAAAUGCGUAGAGAUGCGGAGGAACACCGAUGGCGAAGGCAGCCCCCUGGGCUAACACUGACGCUCAGGCACGAAAGCGUGGGGAGCAAACAGG